UACGUAGGGGGCAAGCGUUGUCCGGAAUCAUUGGGCGUAAAGAGCGCGUAGGCGGCCCUGUAAGUCCGCUGUGAAAGUCAAGGGCUCAACCCUUGGAUGCCGGUGGAUACUGCAGGGCUAGAGUCCGGAAGAGGCGAGUGGAAUUCCUGGUGUAGCGGUGAAAUGCGCAGAUAUCAGGAGGAACACCUAUAGCGAAGGCAGCUUGCUGGGACGACACUGACGCUGAGGCGCGAAAGCGUGGGGAGCGAACAGG
rnacentral:rRNA from 1 species